CUUCAACAAAUCAAAAGCAUCAAGAGAUUUUGUUGCAGACAACUGGUAAUGAUGAUCAUCAUUCAUGUGUUUCUGCUGGAUCAGUGCCUCAGAUAAAGGAACCUCGUAAAGUUAAUGAACAGCCUCAUAUAGUGGAUGAUACGUUGAC